CAGCAACUGAGGAGUCCCACAAUAGGACGAAACGGCCGUACAGUGC
rnacentral:hammerhead_ribozyme from 1 species